CAGGCUGUUGAGUUAUUCCUUCUCUGGUUUGUCCGUCCUAUGGCAGCUGUGUAGCUGUUUUUGCUCCCUAAGUUCAAUUGACGGUGUCUCUUUGGUGAAGUCAGAUUUGGCAGUAACAAGUUUGCAAUGGCUUCUGCGAGUAUGCAAAGCGAAAUAGCAUCUGAAUGGAAAUAUGAUGUGUUCUUGAGUUUCAGAGGAGAAGACACGCGGAAAAACUUUACUAGUCAUCUAUAUUCUGCAUUGGAUCGGCAAGGAAUAUUUACCUUCAAAGAUAACCACAGACUUGAAAGAGGAAAGGUAAUAUCGUUGGAACUCUUUAAAGCAAUUGAAGAAUCCAGGUUUGGCCUUGUUGUUCUUUCAGAAAACUAUGCUUCUUCAACAUGGUGCUUGGAUGAACUAGCAAAGAUAUUGGAAUGCAAAAAAGAUAUGGGUCAGAUUGUUUUGCCAGUUUUCUACAAAGUCACUCCGUCCGAAGUUAGACAUCAGACAGGAAGCUUUGAGAAAGCUUUUGCAGAACAUGAACAUAAUUUUAGGGAAGAUAUGGGAAAGGUGCAAAGGUGGAGGAAUGCCAUGAGACAGAUCUCCCAUCUAUCUGGAUGGCAUUUGCAGAAUAGGGAAGAAUCAGAAUUUAUUCAAGUCAUUGUUGAUGAGAUAUUAAGUAAAUUGGGUUCUACAUUGUUAAAUACAAGGGACAAUCUGGUGGGGAUGGACUCACGAAUGAAGCAAAUUGAUCCAUUGCUAGGUAUAGGUUUGAAUGAUGUCCGCAUGUUAGGAAUCUGUGGAAUGGGUGGGUUAGGUAAAACAACUCUUGCUAGGUUUGUUUUUAAUAAGAUCUCUUAUCAAUUUGAUGGUAGUUGCUUUCUUUCCAAUGUUAGAGAAGUUUCUAUGACACGAGGUCUGAAUGUUUUACAGCAACAACUUAUUUAUGACAUUUUGAUGGAAAGAAACAUAAUAAUAUGGGAUGUUCACAGAGGAUGCAAUGAGAUAAGGAAAAGGUUACGACAUAAAAGGGUUCUUGUCGUCCUCGACGAUGUAGAUCAAUUAGAACAAUUACAAGCAUUAGCUGGAAUGCAUGAUUGGUUUGGUCAGGGAAGUAGAAUCAUCAUUACAACUAGAAAUCGACAUACGCUUGUGGGACGUUGUGUGGAUAAUGUACAUAUGGUUCAUGGAUUAAAUCAUGAGGAAGCUCUUCAGCUCUUUUGUUGGAAGGCAUUUAGAAAAGAUCAUCCUACUGACAAUUAUUUAGAGCUCUCAUUCCAAAUGGUCCGUUAUGCUGAUGGCCUUCCACUAGCCCUUGAAGUGUUGGGAUCCUUUUUGUUUGGUAGAAGUAAAGCAGAGUGGAAAGAUGCAUUGAAUAGAAUGAAAGAAGUUCCAGAAAGAAGAAUUUUUGAAAUACUCAAAAUAAGUUAUGAUGGCCUACAAGAACUUGAGAAAAAAAUAUUUCUAGAUGUUGCUUGUUUCUUUAGAGGAAAGGACAAAGAUGAAAUAAGGGAACUACUAGACAGUUGUAAUUUUCACCCAGACAUUGGAAUCAGCGUUCUAAUUGAUAAAUGCCUCAUAACUCUAUCAGACAACAUGUUGUGUAUGCAUGAUUUGAUCCAGUCUAUGGGUUGGGAAAUUGUUCGCCAAGAGUCCCCUGAAAAUCCUGGUCAACGUAGUAGGUUGUGGCUUUCUAAUGAUAUUCAUCGUAUGUUGACAAAAAAUGAGGGCACAGAGGCUGUUGAAGGCAUAUUCCUAGACUUUCCUUCAUACAAAGUGUUAAAAUUGAAUGCUAAAUCCUUUUCAAGGAUGAGCAAUCUUAGAUUACUUAAAAUCAAAGAUGUAAGCCUUUCCCAAGGCCCCGAAUAUCUUUCAGAUGAGUUACGUCUUCUGAAUUGGCAUGGCUACCCUUUAAGAUCUUUGCCAUCCAAUUUUCAGUACGACAAACUUUUUGAACUUAACCUGUGCUACAGCCACAUUAAACAACUAUGGAAAGGAGUAAAGCGUUUGAACCAUUUGAAAAUAAUUAUCCUUAGUCAUUCAACAUACUUAACUAAGACCCCAGACUUCACUGGUGCCCCAAAUCUUGAGAGACUGAUUCUUGAUGGUUGUACAAGUUUAUCUUUUGUUCACCCAACCAUUGGACUCCUCAAAAAACUCAUACUAUUGAAUUUGAAAGACUGCAAACGACUUAGGAGUUUCAGAACUAAAAUUGAAUGGGAAUCUCUUGAAGUUCUUAUCCUGUCUGGCUGCUCAAACCUCAGUGAUGUUGGAGACAUUGUGUCAAAUAUAAAGCAUCUCGUGAGGCUUAAAGUUCUGGAUCUCAGUGGCUGCUCAAAACUAGACAAACUACCAGAGGACUUGGGGCAUCUGGCAAGUUUGAAAAAUCUUGAUUUAGGUGGAACUGCCAUAAGCGAAUCACCAUCUUCUAUUGUGCUAUUGAAAAACCUUGAGCAAUUAUCUUUUCAUGGAUGCAAAGGAGAACCGCGAAAGUCCUGGAGCUUGUUCCCACUGUUCUCUAGAGCAAAUCCAGAGCCCAUGGGCUUGAGGUUACCUUCUUCAUUAUCAGGUUUAUGUUCCUUAAGACAUUUGGAUCUAGGUGAUUGCAAUCUCCAGGAAGGCGCAAUUCCCUCUGAUAUUGGCUUCUUACCAUCAUUAAAAAAAUUGAAUCUGAGCGGGAAUAAUUUUGUUAGUUUACCUCCAAGCAUCAGUCAACUUCCCAAGCUUGAAACUCUCUUUGUAGAAUAUUGCGAUCGACUUCAAGCUUUGCCAGAGCUUCCAGCAAGUGUAGAUGGAUUAUAUGCUCAGAAUUGCACAUCCUUGGAAAAAAUAUCAUCGAGUUCAUCACAUUUAUUCAAAUCAACAUCAAGAAUGUUUUAUUUGAAUAAUUGCUUCAAGCUUGCUGGAAGUAGAACCAAUGGUGCGACAGUCACAUUUUUUAAAAAUGAGCUUAAUUCACUGUUAAAAAGCCAACUUCUGGGACUUAAGUGUGGAGUUACACAUUCUGAAUUCGAAAUUGUUGUUCCUGGAUCUCAAGUUCCGGAUUGGUUCAUUUAUCGGAGUAAAGGGUCAUCAAUAGGAAUUUCUCAACAGCUAACAGGGAGGGGACUGGCACUUUGUGCUGCUUUUUCAGUAGAUCAUCAUUCCAUUUCAGACAUAUGGAUGAAACUUAAUUGUAAGUUUGGUAACUCUAAUUCUAUUGUGUCCAUGUCAGUCCCUCUAAAGUCGUUAGUUGGGAUAGAUCACCUCUGGUUGUUCUACAUUUCAAGAAGCUAUCUUACCAACGAAGAUUUUUUUUAUCUAAAGAAGGUUUCCUUUCAAGAAGAAAAUGUAGAAAGCAUAACUUUCAAAGAAUGUGGGCUCCGACUAAUAGAUGAUUCUGAUAUUGAAGAAUUCAUCAGAGCACCCUAUAAUCUUAGUAGCAGUACUAAUUCUGAGGCUUUGGAUCCUGAUAGAUUAGCAGUAACAAGUACUAUCAUCAAGCGAAGCCGUGAUUACUAUUACCCUGAUCAGCAUCCGUAUCCAAAAAGAUUGAGGUGAAAGCGGUUAAGUGCUUAACGUCAUGAACAAAUAAUUCUUGGAAUUAAACUCUUCAUUCCUGCUGGUCUUUGCUCUCCCUUUAACUUGCCAUGGUUUUAGUAUCUAGAUUCAUGGUGAGCAUUUGAUAGUGUUAUCUGUAUUUGCUGUAAAAAGCAUAGGGUAAGAUCAGGCCUGUUAGGAAUAUGUGUGCAGAUUACAGGUGUCUCACUGGAGUGAGGAGACAUUGCCUCUUCACGGGAAACCUGUAAAGUGAAUUGUAUUGCUUUCUGUUGUCACUUCUUUUUUGUUAUUUCAACUUGUUCAUUUCUUCCAGCCUGUGGAAUUCAUUAUUACUCCA